rnacentral:rRNA from 1 species
GACGAACGCUGGCGGCGUGCUUAACACAUGCAAGUCGAACGGUAAGGCCCUUCGGGGUACACGAGUGGCGAACGGGUGAGUAACACGUGAGCAAUCUGCCCUUGACUCUGGGAUAACUGCGGGAAACUGUAGCUAAUACCGGAUACGACACCUUGGGGCAUCCCAGGGUGUGGAAAGAAUUUCGGUCAAGGAUGAGCUCGCGGCCUAUCAGCUAGUUGGUGAGGUAAUGGCUCACCAAGGCGACGACGGGUAGCCGGCCUGAGAGGGUGACCGGCCACACUGGAACUGAGACACGGUCCAGACUCCUACGGGAGGCAGCAGUGGGGAAUAUUGCACAAUGAGCGAAAGCCUGAUGCAGCAACGCCGCGUGAGGGAUGAAGGCCUUCGGGUUGUAAACCUCUUUUAGCAGGGAAGAAGCGAAAGUGACGGUACCUGCAGAGAAAGCACCGGCUAACUACGUGCCAGCCGCCGCGGUAA